rnacentral:sRNA from 1 species
UAUAAAUAGUUAGAAAGCGCUUUCCUAAUUUAAUUAGAAAGGGGAAACAAGAAUGGGAACCUUAGUUUGUCAGGAUUGUAAUAAAAUUAUUGAUCAUUUCGAGGAUGAGAAGGUGACAGUUCUAUACUCUAACUGUAAAACAUGUUGCGAAAUUUCUGAGGACUUGAAUAAUAAUAAAUAGGCAGCCAAUUGGCUGCCAUUUCCUUU